rnacentral:rRNA from 1 species
CAUGGGUGAUAAGGUCCGUGUUCGAAAGGGAAACAGCCCAGACCACCAGCUAAGGUCCCAAAAUAUAUGUUAAGUGGAAAAGGAUGUGGCGUUGCCCAGACAACUAGGAUGUUGGCUUAGAAGCAGCCAUCAUUUAAAGAGUGCGUAAUAGCUCACUAGUCGAGUGACACUGCGCCGAAAAUGUACCGGGGCUAAACAUAUUACCGAAGCUGUGGAUUGUCCUUUGGACAAUGGUAGGAGAGCGUUCUAAGGGCGUUGAAGCAUGAUCGUAAGAACAUGUGGAGCGCUUAGAAGUGAGAAUGCCGGUGUGAGUAGCGAAAGACGGGUGAGAAUCCCGUCCACCGAUUGACUAAGGUUUCCAGAGGAAGGCUCGUCCGCUCUGGGUUAGUCGGGUCCUAAGCUGAGGCCGACAGGCGUAGGCGAUGGAUAACAGGUUGAUAUUCCUGUACCACCUAUAAUCGUUUUAAUCGAUGGGGGGACGCAGUAGGAUAGGCGAAGCGUGCGAUUGGAUUGCACGUCUAAGCAGUAAGGCUGAGUAUUAGGCAAAUCCGGUACUCGUUAAGGCUGAGCUGUGAUGGGGAGAAGACAUUGUGUCUUCGAGUCGUUGAUUUCACACUGCCGAGAAAAGCCUCUAGAUAGAAAAUAGGUGCCCGUACCGCAAACCGACACAGGUAGUCAAGAUGAGAAUUCUAAGGUGAGCGAGCGAACUCUCGUUAAGGAACUCGGCAAAAUGACCCCGUAACUUCGGGAGAAGGGGUGCUCUUUAGGGUUAACGCCCAGAAGAGCCGCAGUGAAUAGGCCCAAGCGACUGUUUAUCAAAAACACAGGUCUCUGCUAAACCGUAAGGUGAUGUAUAGGGGCUGACGCCUGCCCGGUGCUGGAAGGUUAAGAGGAGUGGUUAGCUUCUGCGAAGCUACGAAUCGAAGCCCCAGUAAACGGCGGCCGUAACUAUAACGGUCCUAAGGUAGCGAAAUUCCUUGUCGGGUAAGUUCCGACCCGCACGAAAGGCGUAACGAUUUGGGCACUGUCUCAA